CAGCCGUAAACUAUGCGCGUUAGGUGUAUCGGUGACCACGAGUUACCGAGGUGCCGAAGGGAAACCGUGAAACGUGCCGCCUGGGAAGUACGGUCGCAAGGCUGAAACUUAAAGGAAUUGGCGGGGGAGCACCACAACAGGUGGAGCCUGCGGUUUAAUUGGACUCAACGCCGGGAAGCUCACCGGAUAGGACAGCAGAAUGAUAGUCGGGCUGAAGACUCUACUUGAUGAUCUGAGAGGAGGUGCAUGGCGUCAGUGACU
rnacentral:rRNA from 1 species